GCCCUAGUAGCUUAACUAAAAGCAUCGGUCUUGUAAUCCGAAGAUUGGAGGUUAAAUCCCCCCCUAGCGCC
rnacentral:tRNA from 1 species